GGAGUUGUGGCUCAGCGGUAGAGCACUCGCCUCGCAUGUGUGAGGGCCUGGGUUCAAUCCUUAGCACCA
rfam:Ictidomys tridecemlineatus contig002374, whole genome shotgun sequence.